rnacentral:rRNA from 1 species
UACGUAGGGUGCAAGCGUUAAUCGGAAUUACUGGGCGUAAAGCGUGCGCAGGCGGUUUUGUAAGCCAGAUGUGAAAUCCCCGGGCUUAACCUGGGAAUGGCAUUUGGGACUGCAAGGCUUGAGUGCGGCAGAGGAGACUGGAAUUCCUGGUGUAGCAGUGAAAUGCGCAGAUAUCGGGAGGAACACCGGUGGCGAAGGCGGUUCUCAGGGCCUGUACUGACGCUGAGGAGCGAAAGCGUGGGGAGCGAACAGG